rnacentral:rRNA from 1 species
GACGAACGCUGGCGGCGUGCUUAACACAUGCAAGUCGAACGGAAAGGCCCCUUUGGGGGUACUCGAGUGGCGAACGGGUGAGUAACACGUGCGUAACCUGCCCUUGACUUUGGGAUAACUUCAGGAAACUGGGGCCAAUACCGGUAAGGAAUCCUUUCUGCAUGGUGGGGGUUGGAUAGCUUCGGCGGGUUUUGAUGGACUGGCGGCUUAUCUGCUUGCUGGUGGGGCAGUGGGUUACCAAGGCUGUGUCGGGUAGCCGCACUGAGGGGGCGACCGGCGACACUGAGACUGAGGGGCGGCCCAAGCACCGACGGGAGGGAGAAGUGCGGAAGAUUGCACAAUGAGCGGAGGCCUGGUGCAGCAAGUCCUCGGACGGGAUGACGGCCUUCGGGUUGAAGAACAAAUUCAGCAGGAGCGAAGCAUGUGGUGACGGUACCUGCAGAAGAAGCACCGGCUAACUACGUG